rnacentral:rRNA from 1 species
GACGAACGCUGGCGGCGUGCUUAACACAUGCAAGUCGAACGGAAAGGCCCUGCUUUUGUGGGGUGCUCGAGUGGCGAACGGGUGAGUAACACGUGAGUAACCUGCCCUUGACUUUGGGAUAACUUCAGGAAACUGGGGCUAAUACCGGAUAGGAGCUCCUGCUGCAUGGUGGGGGUUGGAAAGUUUCGGCGGUUGGGGAUGGACUCGCGGCUUAUCAGCUUGUUGGUGGGGUAGUGGCUUACCAAGGCUUUGAGGGGUAGCCGGCCGGAGGGGGUGACCGGCCCCAUGGGGCCAGGGGUGGCGACCGGAGUGCAACGGGAGGAAGGGGGGGGGGAUAUGCCGCACGGGGCGGAGGCCGUGAGCAAGAACGCCGGGUGGGAGAAGGCGGCUUUGGGGUUGGAACCCGUUUUGACGUAGGAAGGCGCGUCGGUAGGGUAAAUGGGUAAAAAACCACCGCUAACUACGGU